rnacentral:lncRNA from 1 species
GCUGCUGUCAUUUUUUUAUCAAGGACGCCACUGUCCAAGUCGUUCUUCUGCCUUGGUUAGUGGUGCUUCUCUUCCAUUCCACAUACGAACACCCAUGGAGAAGCUCAUUUAUAAAACAUCCAUCUAUGAAUGAAUUUCUCAAAUAUUACCAUCUGCAAUGGACAUGAUAAUGGUAGAACACUUGUGAUGAUGGACAUAUGUUUAAGGUUUUAUUUUCCCGUUGCAACGCACGGGCAUCACACCAAGGAUUUUUGUUAAGUUCACUUUACUUGGUAUAUGAACUAAUCCUGAAUGGAAAAUAGUUUGUGCUGCUAUCAUCGAUAGAUUAUAAUAAACAUUGCUAGCUUCUUGUGUGUAGGCUUGUUCUGUGCUAGACUACCAAAAUAUGUUUUGCUUCGAUAAUUCUUAUUUAUGUACUAACAAUGUUCUGGGUCCAUGUUCACAUUGAAGCUUAUAGAUCACAAUCCUAAAAUCCUUCAUAGACAUACAUGUUUUCAUUCUAAGCCAUUAUAUAGUUCUUUGUUUUGGAAAUUGUCUAGCCUGACAUUUUUCAGAAUUUGUACAAGUCUUUUAACAAAUUUUGGUAUCCUUUGGACAGGAAGCUUUAGAAUGCUGGUGGCUGAUGGGGAUUAUAAGAACUUAAAUGCCAGAGAAGUCGUAUUGUAUCAGGACUUAAGCUAAUCGUCCAGAAACCUAAUUCAGGGCAUCGUCCAGACACCCUACAGGGGUGAUGUUGGGUGUCUGGACGAUGCCCUGAGGACCUUCUGACCGAGCUUGGCAUCCUGUAGGCAUCACUCUCCCCGAGGCUACCACACCUUGCUGGCGUGCGGUCCAUCAUGGUGGCAGUGGAUGGGCUCUGGGCGGUCAUCAUGGCGGAGAUGAGGCGGAUCUUACGCAAUAUUGUACGUGUUGUCACGGGGUUGUACGUGAUGCGAUCCCGUUGCAACGCACGGGCACUUUUGCUAUAUAUUCUAAAUCACCGUUGUGGCAGAAUUAGAAUAAAACAUCACCUUUUUACAUUAAUUCCACAUCACCGUUGGGCAGAAAUGGAAAAAAC